rnacentral:rRNA from 1 species
AUUGAACGCUGGCGGCAGGCUUAACACAUGCAAGUCGAGCGAGCGGCGGACGGUUGAGUAAUGUCUGGUAAACUGCCUGAUGGAGGGGGAUAACUACUGGACACGGUCGCUAAUACCGCAUACCAUCAGAUGUGCCCAGAUGGGAUUAGCUAGUCGGUGGGGUAAUGGCUCACCUAGGCGACUAUCCCUAGCGGGUCUGAGAGGAUGACCAGCCACACCGGAACUGAGACACGGUCCAGACUCCUACGGGAGGCAGCAGUGGGGAAUAUUGCACAAGGGGCGCAAGACUGAUGCAGCCAUGCCGAGUGUGUGAAGAAGGCAUUAGGGUUGUAAAGCACUUUCAGCGAGGAGGCGUUACUCGCAGAAGAAGCACCGGGUAACUCCGUGCCAGCAGCCGCGGUAAUUC